ACAGAACAUACAGAAACAAAUCAUUGUCAGAUGUAUCUGAAGCGUAUCUUACAGAAUGACCAGGAUUCAUGUGUUUACCCAAAAGGAGAUUGUUUCCUACUAACUGUAGUCUUGAUUCUUCCCAGAAGAGACAUAACAGUGUGAUCAUACCAGACAAGAGAUAUUUAAUUCAGGCAGAUGAGCGGACGGCCAAGCAGACGAGUCACGUCACAUGAGAGGCAUGAGCAGCGUCUCGGCCAAAUAAACUGCCAUUUGACGGUUCGACGCGAUCGAAACCAGAAGAGUAACAAUGCAAAAGGCCACGUUUUACUGACUCGGGUUCUGCUCGGAGGGUCAAGUGAGUCCUGAUGAGUAGAAAUGACACGUGAGGGGCUGCACGCCAAAGCGGCUGUUUGCACGAACGUUGGUAGGAGAUGCUCCAGAGGGGUUACAUGAUCCACAUGAACCAGUGAGGUUUAACAACAGCUCCUUCCGCCCCAACAGUUCCUUACCUCGUCACCUCUCUUCGCAUCUUGAUCUCUCCCGCCUGAGAUGUAAGCUGAGGAGGGACGGAAGAGGCACGAGGAGAGACGAGCCAAGUCAACAGACAUUUAACAACCUGAGACAUCCGUGCAUCGGAACCGUCAUUUCACAGCAACGUCAAUUAAAUGUGAC